rnacentral:pre_miRNA from 1 species
ACCUCAAUCAGUGGGUUGUGAUGUAAUAGUGACGUCAUCACAACCUGCAUGAAGGAGGUAA